rnacentral:rRNA from 1 species
CGACCGCGACCCCAGGUCAGGCGGGACUACCCGCUGAGUU